CCUACGGGCGGCAGCAGUGGGGAAUAUUGCACAAUGGGCGAAACCCUGAUGCAGCAACGCCGCGUGAGUGAAGAAGUAUUUCGGUAUGUAAAGCUCUAUUAGCAGGGAAGAAGAUGACGGUACCUGAAUAAGAAUCCCCGGCUAACUACGUGCCAGCAGCCGCGGUAAUACGUAGGGGGCAAGCGUUAUCCGGAUUUACUGGGCGUAAGGGGAGCGCAGACGGCAGUGCAAGUCUGGAGUGAAAGCCCGGGGCCCAACCCCGGAACUGCUCUGGAAACUGGGCGGCUAGAGUACUGGAGGGGCAGGCGGAAUUCCAGGUGUAGGAGUGAAAUCCGUAGAUAUCUGGAGGAACAUCAGUGGCGAAGGCAGCUAUCUGGCACGUAACUGACGCUGAGGAGCGAAAGCGUGGGUAGCAAACAGGAUUAGAUACCCUUGUAGUC
rnacentral:rRNA from 1 species